rnacentral:sRNA from 1 species
UUCAGUCAGUGUUAGUCUGUGCUUAACACUUCCAGCAAUUGGGAGGACCAAUUUAAUAGUCAUAUCCAGUUAGUGAGGAAUGGAGCCAAGCUGAGCAGCCUUCCUCAAAUCCCUACUCCCACUUUACCUCCACCUCCAUCAGAGACAGACUUCAUGCUUCAGACAAACUGGAGAAGAUCCUGGAGAAGCUGCUGACCCGGUUCCCACAGUGCAAUAAGGCCCAGAUGACCAACAUUCUUCAGCAGAUCAAGACAGCACGUACCACCAUGGCAGGCCUGACCAUGGAGGAACUUAUCCAGUUGGUUGCUGCACGACUGGCAGAACAUGAGCGGGUGGCAGCAAGUACUCAGCCACUUGGUCGCAUCCGGGCCUUGUUCCCUGCUCCACUGGCCCAAAUCAGUACCCCAAUGUUCUUGCCUUCUGCCCAAGUUUCAUAUCCUGGAAGGUCUUCUCAUGCUCCAGCCACCUGUAAGCUAUGUCUAAUGUGCCAGAAACUCGUCCAGCCCAGUGAGCUGCAUCCAAUGGCGUGUACCCAUGUAUUGCAC